AGCGAACGCUGGCGGCAGGCUUAACACAUGCAAGUCGAACGGGCGUAGCAAUACGUCAGUGGCAGACGGGUGAGUAACGCGUGGGAACAUACCUCUUGGUUCGGAACAACACAGGGAAACUUGUGCUAAUACCGGAUAAGCCCUUACGGGAAGAUUUAUUGCCGAAGGAAUAGCCCGCGUCCGAUUAGCUAGUUGGUGUGGUAAUGGCGCACCAAGGCGACGAUCGGUAGCUGGCUGAGAGGAUGAUCAGCCACCA
rnacentral:rRNA from 1 species